rnacentral:lncRNA from 1 species
AGUCUGAGUAUGUGGGAUCUGAGGGAAGGUGAACUGAAGCUUGGUGGGAGCACUGCCCAAGAGCACAGCCGGGGAGACCUCAAGGAGCUGUGACUGAAAGGGGAAAAGGCAGAUGAGCUAUAAACAAUGGAACUCUGAGCUAAAGAAAUGCAAGCAACUGGCAGGUGGGCUGACAUCAGCUUGAGGUGAACAACAAAGGAAAAUGCUGGAACAAUCAUCCCAGACUGAGAAACGCAGGGUAAAAAUGUCAGAAGUUGUGAAGACAUCUGAUUCCCGCUGUCAAAUGCAGCUUUUGAAUUCAGAGUUUAAACUUAACAAGGUGGAAGCAAGCCUGCAUUUUUUUCCCCUGUUGAUUGAAAUGGGAGCAUGA